UAAAUAAUACUUUUAGAAUUGUCCUACAUGAUGCUUACCACAGGUUCGGGAACUAACCCAGCCAGACGAACCGGCGCGGCGUAAGAAACUCACACGGAGCCUUAUA